rnacentral:rRNA from 1 species
AUUGAACGCUGGCGGCAUGCUUUACACAUGCAAGUCGAACGGUAACAGGGAGCUUGCUCCGCUGACGAGUGGCGAACGGGUGAGUAAUGCGUCGGAACGUGCCGAGUAGUGGGGGAUAACGCAUCGAAAGGUGUGCUAAUACCGCAUACGUACUGAGGUAGAAAGUGGGGGACCUUCGGGCCUCACGCUAUUCGAGCGGCCGACGUCUGAUUAGCUAGUUGGUGAGGUAAAGGCUCACCAAGGCGACGAUCAGUAGCGGGUCGGAGAGGAUGAGCCGCCACACUGGGACUGGGACGCGGCCCAGAGUCGUACGGGAGGCGGCAGUGGGGAAUUUUGGACAAGGGGCGCAAGCCUGAUCCAGCCAUGCCGCGUGUCUGAAGAAGGCCGUCGGGUUGUAAAGGACUUGUGUCCGGGAGCAAAUGCCUGGUGUUAAUAGCACUGGGAGCUGAGAGUACCGGAAGAAUAAGCACCGGCUAACUACGUGCCAGCAGCCGCGGUAAGAC